rnacentral:rRNA from 1 species
AGAGUUUGAUCAUGGCUCAGAUUGAACGCUGGCGGAAUGCUUUACACAUGCAAGUCGAACGGCAGCACGGGGGCAACCUGGUGGCGAGUGGCGAACGGGUGAGUAAUACAUCGGAACGUGCCCAAUCGUGGGGGAUAACGUAGCGAAAGUUACGCUAAUACCGCAUACGAUCUACGGAUGAAAGCGGGGGAUCGCAAGACCUCGCGCGAGUGGAGCGGCCGAUGUCAGAUUAGGUAGUUGGUGGGGUAAAGGCUCACCAAGCCAACGAUCUGUAGCUGGUCUGAGAGGGCGACCAGCCACACUGGAACUGAGACACGGUCCAGACUCCUACGGGAGGCAGCAGGUGGGGAAUUUUGGACAAUGGGGGCAACCCUGAUCCAGCCAUUCCGCGUGAGUGAAGAAGGCCUUCGGGUUGUAAAGCUCUUUCAGCAGGAACGAAACGGUGGCCACUAAUACUGGCUACUAAUGACGGUACCUGAAGAAGAAGCACCAGCUAACUACGUG